rnacentral:rRNA from 1 species
UACGGAGGGAGCUAGCGUUGUUCGGAAUUACUGGGCGUAAAGCGCACGUAGGCGGCUUUGUAAGUUAGAGGUGAAAGCCCGGGGCUCAACCCCGGAAUUGCCUUUAAGACUGCAUCGCUUGAAUCCAGGAGAGGUGAGUGGAAUUCCGAGUGUAGAGGUGAAAUUCGUAGAUAUUCGGAAGAACACCGGUGGCGAAGGCGGCUCACUGGCUCAUUACUGAGCUCAGGCGCGACAGCGUGGGGAU